GCUGGCGGCGUGCCUAACACAUGCAAGUCGAACGAGAAAGUGGAGCAAUCCAUGAGUAAAGUGGCGACCGGGUGAGUAACACGUGACUAACCUACCCUUGAGUGGGGGAUAACCUCGGGAAACCGGGGCUAAUACCGCAUAACAUCGCGAGAUCAAAGGAGCAAUCCGCUGAAGGAGGGGGUCGCGGCUGAUUAGUUAGUUGGUGAGGUAACGGCUCACCAAGACAAAGAUCAGUAGCCGGCCUGAGAGGGCGCACGGCCACACUGGAACUGAAACACGGUCCAGACUCCUACGGGAGGCAGCAGUGGGGAAUUUUGCGCAAUGGGGGAAACCCUGACGCAGCAACGCCGCGUGGAGGAUGAAGUCCCUUGGGAUGUAAACUCCUUUCGAUCGGGACGAUAAUGACGGUACCGGAAGAAGAAGCACCGGCUAACUCUGUGCCAGCAGCCGCGGUAAUACAGAGGGUGCAAGCGUCGUUCGGAAUUAUUGGGCGUAAAGGGCGCGUANGCGGUGCGGUAAGUCUGUAGUGAAAUCUCUGGGCUCAACUCA
rnacentral:rRNA from 1 species